ACGACCUUACUUGAACAGGAUCUGUUCUAUAGGUUGUACAACUGAAUCUUUAACCUCUAAGGAGACGGAGAUCAAAGUCUGGAGGAGGAACCACGACCUCUUGACCUGAGCGUGAAAGUUUGGGUAAAGCGGAGGAUCGUUCUGCGGCCGACUCGGUCAGCCAUGGAUGAAUGGUCUUGAGGUUGUCUGACAGACC